rnacentral:rRNA from 1 species
GAUGAACGCUGGCGGCGUGCCUAAUACAUGCAAGUCGAGCGAACAGACGAGGAGCUUGCUCCUCUGACGUUAGCGGCGGACGGGUGAGUAACACGUGGAUAACCUACCUAUAAGACUGGGAUAACUUCGGGAAACCGGAGCUAAUACCGGAUAAUAUAUUGAACCGCAUGGUUCAAUAGUGAAAGACGGUUUUGCUGUCACUUAUAGAUGGAUCCGCGCCGCAUUAGCUAGUUGGUAAGGUAACGGCUUACCAAGGCAACGAUGCGUAGCCGACCUGAGAGGGUGAUCGGCCACACUGGAACUGGGACACGGUCCAGACUCCUACGGGAGGCAGCAGUAAGGAAUCUUCCGCAAUGGGCGAAAGCCUGACGGAGCAACGCCGCGUGAGUGAUGAAGGUCUUCGGAUCGUAAAACUCUGUUAUUAGGGAAGAACAAAUGUGUAAGUAACUAUGCACGUCUUGACGGUACCUAAUCAGAAGGCCACGGCUAACUACGUG